UAGCACAUCUUUAAGGCGAUCUGGUGAGA
rnacentral:piRNA from 1 species